UACGGAGGGAGCUAGCGUUGUUCGGAUAUACUGGGCGUAAAGCGCACGUAGGCGGCGCCGUAAGUCAGGGGUGAAAUCCCGGGGCUCAACCCCGGAACUGCCCUUGAAACUGCAGUGCUAGAAUCCUGGAGAGGCGAGUGGAAUUCCGAGUGUAGAGGUGAAAUGCGCAGAUAUCGGGAGGAACACCAAUGGCGAAGGCAGCUCGCUGGGACGUUACUGACGCUGAGACGCGAAAGCGUGGGGAGCAAACAGG
rnacentral:rRNA from 1 species